rnacentral:rRNA from 1 species
AUACGGAGGGUGCAAGCGUUGUUCGGAAUUAUUGGGCGUAAAGCGCGUGUAGGCGGUCUUUUAAGUCUGAUGUGAAAGCCCCGGGCUCAACCUGGGAAGUGCAUUGGAAACUGGGAGACUUGAGUACGGGAGAGGAGAGUGGAAUUCCUAGUGUAGGAGUGAAAUCCGUAGAUAUUAGGAGGAACACCGGUGGCGAAGGCGGCUCUCUGGACCGAUACUGACGCUGAGACGCGAAAGCGUGGGUAGCAAACAGGAUUAGAUACCCUGGUAGUCCACGCCGUAAACGAUGAGUACUAGGUGUUGCGGGUAUUGACCCCUGCAGUGCCGUAGCUAACGCAUUAAGUACUCCGCCUGGGAAGUACGGUCGCAAGACUAAA